rnacentral:rRNA from 1 species
GCUGGCGGCGUGCCUAAUACAUGCAAGUCGAGCGAACGGACGAGAAGCUUGCUUCUCUGAUGUUAGCGGCGGACGGGUGAGUAACACGUGGAUAACCUACCUAUAAGACUGGGAUAACUUCGGGAAACCGGAGCUAAUACCGGAUAAUAUUUUGAACCGCAUGGUUCAAAAGUGAAAGACGGUCUUGCUGUCACUUAUAGAUGGAUCCGCGCUGCAUUAGCUAGUUGGUAAGGUAACGGCUUACCAAGGCAACGAUGCAUAGCCGACCUGAGAGGGUGAUCGGCCACACUGGAACUGAGACACGGUCCAGACUCCUACGGGAGGCAGCAGUAGGGAAUCUUCCGCAAUGGGCGAAAGCCUGACGGAGCAACGCCGCGUGAGUGAUGAAGGUCUUCGGAUCGUAAAACUCUGUUAUUAGGGAAGAACAUAUGUGUAAGUAACUGUGCACAUCUUGACGGUACCUAAUCAGAAAGCCACGGCUAACUACGUGCCAGCAGCCGCGGUAAUACGUAGGUGGCAAGCGUUAUCCGGAAUUAUUGGGCGUAAAGCGCGCGUAGGCGGUUUUUUAAGUCUGAUGUGAAAGCCCACGGCUCAACCGUGGAGGGUCAUUGGAAACUGGAAAACUUGAGUGCAGAAGAGGAAAGUGGAAUUCCAUGUGUAGCGGUGAAAUGCGCAGAGAUAUGGAGGAACACCAGUGGCGAAGGCGACUUUCUGGUCUGUAACUGACGCUGAUGUGCGAAAGCGUGGGGAUCAAACAGGAUUAGAUACCCUGGUAGUCCACGCCGUAAACGAUGAGUGCUAAGUGUUAGGGGGUUUCCGCCCCUUAGUGCUGCAGCUAACGCAUUAAGCACUCCGCCUGGGGAGUACGACCGCAAGGUUGAAACUCGAAGGAAUUGACGGGGACCCGCACAAGCGGUGGAGCAUGUGGUUUAAUUCGAAGCAACGCGAAGAACCUUACCAAAUCUUGACAUCCUUUGACAACUCUAGAGAUAGAGCUUUCCCCUUCGGGGGACAAAGUGACAGGUGGUGCAUGGUUGUCGUCAGCUCGUGUCGUGAGAUGUUGGGUUAAGUCCCGCAACGAGCGCAACCCUUAAGCUUAGUUGCCAUCAUUAAGUUGGGCACUCUAAGUUGACUGCCGGUGACAAACCGGAGGAAGGUGGGGAUGACGUCAAAUCAUCAUGCCCCUUAUGAUUUGGGCUACACACGUGCUACAAUGGACAAUACAAAGGGCAGCGAAACCGCGAGGUCAAGCAAAUCCCAUAAAGUUGUUCUCAGUUCGGAUUGUAGUCUGCAACUCGACUACAUGAAGCUGGAAUCGCUAGUAAUCGUAGAUCAGCAUGCUACGGUGAAUACGUUCCCGGGUCUUGUACACACCGCCCGUCACACCACGAGAGUUUGUAACACCCGAAGCCGGUGGAGUAACCUUUUAGGAGCUAGCCGUCGAAGGUGGGACAAAUGAUUGG